CAGUCAUAUGCUUCGUUCAAGGGCUAAGCCAUGCAUGUCUCAGAGCAAGUGGUUUCGACAGUGGGUCUGUGAAUGGCUCCUUACAUCAGCAGUCAUCUCCGUGAUAGUGUGUGGGAGGCGCCUCGUACCAUCGGCGCCCAGUGGGACAUCCUCCAAAACCUUGUGGCUAAUACACGUACGCUCAGGUCGACCGCAGCACAUGUUUGCCAGCGAUUUGCUGCCAGUCUUGGCGGUGGAUUGCGCCCAGCUGAUCGAAAGACCAGCGCCCCAACCAAGGG
rnacentral:rRNA from 1 species